UAACGCGAAUAACCUUACCAGGUCUUGACAUCUUCUGCUAACCUAAGAGAUUAGGCGUUCCCUUCGGGGACGGAAUGACAGGUGGUGCAUGGUUGUCGUCAGCUCGUGUCGUGAGAUGUUGGGUUAAGUCCCGCAACGAGCGCAACCCUUAUUGUCAGUUGCCAGCAUUUAGUUGGGCACUCUGGCGAGACUGCCGGUGACAAACCGGAGGAAGGUGGGGAUGACGUCAAAUCAUCAUGCCCCUUAUGACCUGGGCUACACACGUGCUACAAUGGACGGUACAACGAGUCGCGAAACCGCGAGGUCAAGCUAAUCUCUUAAAGCCGUUCUCAGUUCGGAUUGUAGGCUGCAACUCGCCUACAUGAAGUUGGAAUCGCUAGUAAUCGUGGAUCAGC
rnacentral:rRNA from 1 species